CCCGUCUUGAAACACGGACCAAGGAGUCUAGCAUGUGCGCGAGUCAUUGGGAUUCUCGAUAAACCCAGAGGCGCAAUGAAAGUGAAAGGCGGGGCCUCGCGCCCCGCCGCGAGGGAAGAUGCGUGGGCGCCUCAGCGCGCUCCGCCGCAUUCCCGAGGCGUUUCGAGAAAGUCACCGUGCGAUUAUCGAGACGCACUGAGAGCGUACACGCUGGGACCCGAAAGAUGGUGAACUAUGCCUGGUCAGGUCGAAGUCAGGGGAA
rnacentral:rRNA from 1 species